CAUGACUUCGUCUUUGUAUUUGUCAAAAAUGAGACAUUGGUUUUGUGACCAGGAUGGCAGGUUGCAGGCUUUGGAAUACCUUGUACAGCGCUAGUAAAAAUUAUGGAAGAGAAUGGAUUGGACGAGUCAGCUUCUUUUAUUAUAUGAACGUAUGGGUGUUCUCUUAGGCAAUAGGAAAGAGCAAUUUUGGGUAAUAGUGAAUCAUUCAUCUUAUAAACAAAAUUUCUUUAGAGCAAGGAUUUUAGGAAUUGCUGAUCUGAGUUAGCUUUCAGAUAGUAUUAAUAGGCCCUAUUAUUUUUGCUUACUAAAGUAGAUUACUUGGAAAUAAUAGGGAUAACUUGUCCAAGCUUUAAAUUUAAAAUAUAUACAGAGAGAAAUAGUUUUGUGUUACAAAGGGGUGUUACAAACUUUCCAUCCAACUUUUAACUAAUUAAAUAAUCAAUGAAAAUUUAAUUCCCAGAAGGCUAAAUAGCAACACCCACAUAAAUGUAAAUAAACACAGCUUUCUUUCUUUCUUGUUCUAUGUACCUGCAUGCUAGCUGUGUUUGCAAAUACUUGUUACAUCCAUUUAUAUGUUAAGGUAAAGGUAAAAGUUCCCCCGCACAUACAUGCUAGUUGUUUCUGGCUCUAGGGGCGGUUCUCAUCUCCAUUUCAAAGCUGAAGAGUCAACACUGUCCGAAGAAGUCUCUGCGGUCAUGUGCCGGCAUGACAAAAUGCUGAAGGCGCACAGACUGAAGGCACUGUUACUUUCCCACCAAAGGUUAUCCCUAUUUUUCUACUUGCAUUUUUUAUGUGCUUUCGAACUGCUAGGUUGGCAGAAGCUGGGACAAGUAACGGGAGCUCACUCCAUUACACGGCGCUAGGGAUUCGAACCGCUGAACUGUCAACCUUCUAAUCGACAAGGGACAGUCUGAAUAACAGUGAAAUCUGCAAACAAACCUGAUGCCGAGUCAGAUCCUGGCUCUUGCAAAUAUCACAGGAACAAGCUCAUCAUCAGCAAAUAAAUUACUGCCCUUUACACACAAAAAAGGCAUUAUUCUCUUUUGUAUUCGCUCCACAUUUGCUCAUUACCAUUUAUUCUUCUCCCUAUCUGUUCUCGUUUUUUACCACACAUACAAUUCUUAAAUAACCCAUUCGAUUUGUUUUUAUUUAUCUCCUGACAUACCUGCUCUCUUCCAAAUAAUAAAGUAAGCAGAGCAGCACGGCCAUUUUUACUGAUUUCAACAUUCAUCCCUCACAACAGGCCAUGUACCCUCCACUACCUGGCUGAAAAUGCUGGCAUUUUCACAUUUUUAAAUCAUCUCCAUCCGUUUUCUCCUCUUUUGUAAUUUUACCAAGGUUAAAAAGCUCAUCUGCUUGCUCUAAUUUUCCACAAUUGAUAGAUAACUUGAAAUUGAUCUUUCUGUUUUUCUUGCCAAAUGCUCUUUCCAUGCUCUUCAAUGUAUUACUUUACAGAUCAAUAGUCUUCAUUGCAUCAUGCAAGCUAUCUAACAUUUGUUGCAAAUCAUUUAGGUGCUCAGCUAGGAACAUAGCAUUGGCUGCAUACUUACAGUGUGUAUGUGUAAACACACACACACACACCAGUGGUGAAAUCCUCCACGGGUUGCCACUGGUUUGCUGCCCGCACAUGCAGGGUGCAUGCCAAACGUGCGCUGUGUGCCAAAUGCGCACUGUGCGUGUGCAUGCACAGUGCACAUCAAACACACGCUGUGUGUGGAGGUGCAGUGCACACCAAACACAUGCUGCGUCUGCAAGUGCAGUACAUGCCAAAUGCAUGCUGCGCAUGUAUGCACAAUGUGUACCUAACACACCGAACGUGUGCUUCGCGCAGAAAAAGGAGCCAUUUGAAGGUAAGUAGAACAGCAAGUGGGGACAGCUGUGCCGCACGAUUUAGAUUCGCUAGAAGGCAGGAUUUCCUGCUUUCUAGUGAAUAUAAAUCGCGCAGCACAGCUGAUCAUCGGAAAUACCAGAUUGGAUGAACUGGUAAUUUUUAUUACUACCAGUUCGCCUGAACCCUUAUGAACCGGUAGCAUUUCACCCCUGACACACACUCAUAUCUCUAACCAGUACAUCAAGAAUUACACUGUAAGCAUUCCCUAUACAACAUGUGUCCACAAACACAUUAAGUAACCUAGGAGACAUUACACAUUCUUUGUCUUCCUCUCUGCUCAAUAUCGAACCAUUCAACGUAUCAUUUAUUCUCUCCCGUGCUUUAAUCCCACCAAGCACUGAUUUUAUUGCAUUCAGCAACCAAGUUUCAUAUUUGCCUAAAACAUUCCAUAAUUCAAGCUUUUUCACUUUAUCUUUUUAAAUCAACAGCAACAGCAGCAAAUGGAAACCAUUCUUAAAUUCAGACAUGAAUAGACGGCCUACUAAAGAACAACAGUCUGGCCUGUACUUUCCUUGCCUUGCAUAAGCUGCGCUGUACUUCCUAUAUUUCUUCAAUGCCAUCUCUCAUGCGUUUUAAAUCAUAAUUCUUCCACAUACCUUCCCCAGGAACAAGCUAGUUUUUGCACUUACUCAGUACCUUUUUUCCUUUGCACAAGGGGACAUGGCAUUCUUUUAUUGUCUGGUACUAGUUUGCAGCAUGCAUUACCUAAAACAAAGAACGGCUCCACAAGCAAUCCAUUUUUAGCAUUUAACUGUCUACACCUGCAAUUUACCAUUGCCUGCAGUCCUUGUCAGUAGAUAUAACACCAAUUCCUUGUCCUCAUUUUUUCCUUAGAAGUAACAUUUAUAGCAUUCAUUUCAAUCCUUCCCACUGACAUAUCACUAUAAUUGUAAAUUGUUUUUCAAUAUACACGUUAGACAGUAUCUUUCUCUUGUCCCCAUUUUUUUUACCGCAAUCAUUCUUUUGUAUGCAUUUUUCUCUUGUGCGGCCUCUUUUUAUUUCUUCAUUCCACUAAGCAUCCUUUUUCAUACUUCCCAUUAGUGUAACUCUGCACCCUUCUGCAACAUUUUCUAACACAAAUUCUUUUCACUUUGUUCUAAGCAGCUUCCACAUCCUCUUUUCUUACGGCUACAUUUUAUUCAUUAUGUUGGGAAUUUAACCUAUUUCCUCUCACUCUCUUUCUCUCCCUCUUGGAUGCAUGUCUUCUCUUAUUGCAAUUGUUUUAUUUCCCCUCUAGUUUCUCACACUUUCCUUUUCUUCCAUUUUUCAGGAUUCACACUUGAUAACUAUCAAAAGAUGAUCUGCUCUACUUCCAGAGCAUCUCACCAUCCUUCUCCUAGGCUUUCAAACUGAAGAAUGGUGUCUGAGGAAAUGUCUGCAAUUCAGUUCUUUCUGUCACAAAAAUCCGUCAUUUCUGCACAUGUACAGCUAAUAAGAGCAUAUACCCCAUAUGUACAUAGCAGGCUGUUGCGCAUCGAACAAUAAAAGAUUUUU